CGCAGCUGUGUCAAAUUGAGCACGUGCUCCCUUUCAUGGUAGGAGCUGGCCCAUACAGCUGCCACACAACACUGUAGCUCGUGGGCCCCAAGUCCCUCUUAUAGGGGAUUGGGGAUAAAUCUUACUGAGGACACUG
rnacentral:snoRNA from 1 species